rnacentral:rRNA from 1 species
UACGUAGGUGGCAAGCGUUGUCCGGAUUUAUUGGGCGUAAAGAGCGUGUAGGCGGCCAGAUAGGUCUGUUGUGAAAACUCGAGGCUCAACCUCGAGACGCCGAUGGAAACCAUUUGGCUAGAGUCCGGAAGAGGAGAGUGGAAUUCCUGGUGUAGCGGUGAAAUGCGCAGAUAUCAGGAAGAACACCCGUGGCUAAGGCGGCUCUCUAGUACGGUACUGACGCUGAGACGCGAAAAGCGUGGGGAGCGAACAGG